rnacentral:rRNA from 1 species
UACGGAGGGAGCUAGCGUUGUUCGGAAUUACUGGGCGUAAAGCGCACGUAGGCGGCUUUUUAAGUCAGGGGUGAAAUCCCGGGGCUCAACCCCGGAACUGCCCUUGAAACUGGAGAGCUAGAAUCUUGGAGAGGCGAGUGGAAUUCCGAGUGUUAGAGGUGAAAUUCGUAGAUAUUCGGAAGAACACCAGUGGCGAAGGCACGACU